UACGUAGGUGGCAAGCGUUGUCCGGAUUUACUGGGCGUAAAGGGCGUGCAGGCGGUCUGUUAAGUGCAGGGUGAAAGCUCCCGGCUCAACUGGGAGAGGUCCUUGCAUACUGGCGGACUUGAGGGGGGUAGAGGAAAGUGGAAUUCCCGGUGUAGUGGUGAUAUGCGUAGAUAUCGGGAGGAACACCUGUGGCGAAGGCGGCUUUCUGGGCCCUACCUGACGCUGAGGAGCGAAAGCCAGGGGAGCCAAAGCGGG
rnacentral:rRNA from 1 species